rnacentral:lncRNA from 1 species
AGUCUAAAAUAAGAGAGACUAACAUAGAAUCAACCAUGAACAGAAACAUCCUCCAUCUGCUGGAGUUGAGCCUCUGACUUGCUGCUGUGUGCCUACCUGAGAAGGGGAUAGGAAGGGAGAGAGAUGGCUCUCACAGCAAAAAUGGGGGUACAUUUGAGUGCUGACUUGUUUUUUUCUUUUCCGAAUGAAGUAAGGAUUCCAAAUGGAAAAAUAAGUGCUCAUACAACUCAGAGCCCAAGCUGGCCAGUAAGACAUGUGCAGACAAAUGUGUGUUUUGCAGAAAGGAACUAACAAGCAGGCAGACAAGUGGUGAGGGUACAAUGUCUCUAGCCUAGCUUGCUGGCUGAAGAGAUUCCUACUCCAUGCCUAGCUGCAGGAGCUAAAGGCCUGGCUUACAGGAGGAUUUCCCCAUCUGUUAUGGAUGCUCAGCCUUUGAGGAACAGUUGUCAUUUUUUUCCUGCACUGCUGUCGGUUUUUUUAGUGCCUACAGAGUUAAGCUGUGGCUUCAUCAAUCAUCUUCUGAAGGUUGACCCCAUCUUACUCCAUGGAGAAUCCUGCAGCACAAUCGCUCCCAGAUCUUCCUCUUGAAGGAGGAGCAGCCCCUUCAAAACUGAGCUGUGCCCUGCUGCCAAGCCAGCCCUGCACCACUGUCCCUGCCAGGCUGUCAGAUGAAGGUUCUCCCACACCUCCAGCAAGCAUCGCAGAGCAGCUGGGGAAGGGGCUGGAGCUCACAGCCCAGGACAGCACCCCAGCGAGGACAGUGACAGCCUGGUGAGAGCUGCAGUGUAGCACUGCGUGUAUUUGACAAGCUGAGUUUGACACUCAGUCUGGCAGAGUGUCAGUUUGUCAAAUACCCCAAGUGAGGCACUUGCUGAGCAACACGGCCGCGCACCGAGGGGAUGGACUCCUUCACACGCUCCUCUCUAAAAGCCUAAUGAGGUAUGGAACAAACUGCCCCACUGUA